AAGUGUCCGCUUGAAACCGUGACAACACCAAAUUUCUCUCUUUGUCCCUCUCUCAAAGGUCUUCACGAGCUCCCCUACUGGCGGUCACCUACACCGACAGUAUGCCGGCCAUCAACCGCGAGGAGCUCGACCGGCGUGUGGAGCAGAUCUACGACCAGGUGGUUGCCUGGCGCCGCUACAUCCACGAGAACCCGGACCUCUCGUUCGAGGAGCAGCCGACGGCGGCCUACAUCAUGGGUGAGCUGCAGAAGAUGGACGCGAAGGGCGAAUGGCUGCACAUCAGCCAGCCUGAAAGCAACUGCGUUGUUGCUGACCUGAAGGGUGGCGGUGGCGACGGCCCGAUCAUUGCGCUGCGUGCGGACAUCGACGCGCUGCCUGUCGAGGAGCUGACAGACGUGCCGUUUGCGUCGAAGAAGCAGGGCGUGAUGCACGCGUGCGGCCACGACACGCACGCGGCGAUGCUGCUCGGCGCGACGAGGCUGCUGCUGGAGGAUGCGGGGAGGAUCAAGGGCACCGUGCGCCUGCUGUUUCAGCCUGCGGAGGAGGUGCCGCCGGGUGGCGCCCAGAUGAUGAUCGAGAAGGGCUGCAUGGAGGGCGUGGCGAUGGUGUUUGCUGAGCACAUCAUCCCGAUGAAGGAGGGGCCUACGGGCACAGUUUUGGUGAGGAAGGGUCCGGUUCUCUCCAGCAGUGACACCCUACACGCGGAAAUAAUUGGCCGCGGCGGGCAUGCCUCCAUGCCGGAGAGCUCCAUCGACCCUAUCGCGAUCGCGUGCCUUGCCGUGACUGCCCUUCAGCAGGUGGUGUCGCGUCGCAUGCCGCCAUCCAAGUGCCCAAUCUUCACCAUCACCACGAUAACCUCGAGCUCUGACAGCUACAACGUGAUCCCUGACAGGGUGACGCUGAAGGGCACGCUGCGCACGCAGGAUCGCGAGGUGCGGGAAGAUGCCAAAAAGGCUGUCGCUGAGGUGCUUCACGGCAUGUGCAGAUCGUACGGUGCGAUGUGCAACCUCAACUGGCUUCCUGGCUACGAUGUGACGGUGAACACGGACAGCGCGUACGACGUGGGAAUGCGAGUUUUUGCGCAGGUGCUCCCCUCGAAGGACCAGGUUGUGGAGCUUUCGGCUUGCAUGUCUCCCUCCGAGGACUUCAGCGAGUUUGCGAAGGUGGCACCUGCGAACUAUGUGGGGAUUGGCUGCUACAAUCCUGGGAAGGGGUGCACUGCGGUGAACCACAACGCGAAGUUCCGCGUGGACGAGGAGGCGAUGAAGGUCGGCGUGAAGGUCCAUUAUGGCACUAUCCACGAGCUGCUCAUGCAGUGAAGAAAGCGCCGAUAUAUGUAUUCCUUUUAAAUCUGUUUGUUUUAGAGUUCGCAGGGCUGUCUGCCGCCUCGCUUUCUGGUUUUGUAAGGCAGGAUAUGGCUGAGCAGGGACACCUCAUAUGUGUGGCCCACGGUUUAUAUCAGCUCCUUCCAGAAAGCCGGCGUGAUGGCGACGAAUAUGCCGGUGAUCUCCGUUCCUCCCCGCUGUUGUCUGCCCCUUUUCUUUCCUUUUUUCAUGGCUUGCGAGACUCGCGCAAGCUCGUUUGCGCGAGACGGCGAGAGAGACCGGCAACGAAAAGGACGAGGGCAGCUCUUUUUUGUUUCGUGUCGUAUGUACACGUUUUCGACACCUCUGUGCUUGUAACCGAUUCGCGGUCUUCCGCGAUCUCUUUAUUGCUUUUUCUCUCCUCACCUAUCGUCUCCCCCGCCCUUUUCUGUUGGUUUCUCCAUGCGCGCGUGUUUGCCUCUGCCUGUGGCUCUCUCAUCAUCAUCAUCGUAAGGGUUCGCAGUGGUGGGGAGAGAGUAGCCGCGACACGGCUGCAACACACGUGUGUAGCCUUUCUAUCCCUCCUCCAUCCUUCCCUUCUUCUCUGUUGUGCGCUUGUUCAUAUCCUACCCCUAACUCUUUUUCAACGGCUUCACGCGGCAUCCGCAGCGACGAUACGAAAAAAAAAGAUCGGAGAACAGUGAAAAGGGCGAUCACCCCAUUUGUUGAAGCUCGCGAUGUGGUUCUUGUACGCGCAGCACCUACUACAAUUUACCUCAACUUUCUGUGUUCAUCUUGUAGUGGGGGUGAGUUGUGGCGCGAGCGACUCUGACCGUGCCGCGUUCUCAUGAGUUCCUUGUUUUGUUCCUGCUGUUUGUCGCUUGGCUAAGGUGAUGUACGUUCUCCUGCUGAAACUCUCCACUUGCCGGGUCUAUAUCUAUGGCGACUUCCCCUUUUUUCUUUUCAGUUGCAGGGGGGGGGCGGAGUCGGAGGAAGCCCAUGAUUGACCACAUGGCGUCGUACCCGCUUUCCCCUUCUUUGCUUCAAUUCCACCAAUGUCUGAUAGCAUGUCGUAGCGACAUGCCCUUUUGUGCACGACCCUGAUCUUAGCACUCCUUCCUCUUUCCCUGUUCUGUUGCCCUCGCCUCUCCUCUACGACCUCGACGACUUAG
rnacentral:misc_RNA from 1 species